AUUGAACGCUGGCGGCAGGCCUAACACAUGCAAGUCGAGCGGAUGAAGGGAGCUUGCUCCUGGAUUCAGCGGCGGACGGGUGAGUAAUGCCUAGGAAUCUGCCUGGUAGUGGGGGAUAACGUCCUGAAACGGGCGCUAAUACCGCCUACGUCCUGAGGGUGAAAGUGGGGGAUCUUCGGACCUCACGCUCUCAGAUGAGCCUAGGUCGGAUUAGCUAGCUGGUGGGGUAAAGGCCUACCAAGGCGACGAUCCGUAACUGGUCUGAGAGGAUGAUCAGUCACACUGGAACUGAGACACGGUCCAGAGUCCUACGGGAGGCAGCAGUGGGGAAUAUGGGACAAAGGGCGAAAGCCUGAUCCAGCCAUGCCGCGUGUGUGAAGAAGGUCUUCGGAUUGUAAAGCACUUUAAGUUGGGAGGAAGGGCAGUAAGUUAAUACCUUGCUGUUUUGACGGUACCAACAGAAUAAGCACCGGCUAACUUCGUG
rnacentral:rRNA from 1 species